rnacentral:rRNA from 1 species
GCCAUUUAAAGUGGUACGCGAGCUGGGUUUAGAACGUCGUGAGACAGUUCGGUCCCUAUCUGCCGUGGGCGUUGGAAGAUUGAGAGGGGUUGCUCCUAGUACGAGAGGACCGGAGUGAACGCACCACUGGUGUUCGGGUUGUCAUGCCAAUGGCAUUGCCCGGUAGCUAAGUGCGGAAAAGAUAAGCGCUGAAAGCAUCUAAGCGCGAAACUUGCCUCAAGAUGAGUCUUCCCUGGACCUUUAAGGUCCCUGAAGGAACGUUUAAGACUAAGACGUUGAUAGGCUGGGUGUGUAAGUGCAGCGAUGCAUUGAGCUAACCAGUACUAAUGAUCCGUGAGGCUUAACCUUACAACACCGAAGGUGUU